GCCCGCAUGGAUCAAUGCUAGGUCAUCUCUCCACAAUGGCACCUGCAUCCAUUCAGCCUGACACCGAGAGGACGGAGGUUCGAAUCCUUCUGCGGGUA